rfam:Nicotiana attenuata strain TT chromosome 10, whole genome shotgun sequence.
AAAAAUAUCAUCGUGAAUGGGCGAUCAAGAAGGCCCAUGGCCUAGGCUGGUGACUUCCAUUGCACUUUGGAGGGAUGCCAGCCUAAGGUCGGCCCAAGUGAUCGAGCCUACGUCAUAAUUUGUGGCAGAGAGGGCCUGC